CUUUCAGUGCAGUAGUUCCUGUGGUGCUCGCAGAAGCCACGCAGCUUGGGUGCAAUCAAACUGCGGCCCAGCCUCAUCCCUGCAGGAAUCCAGAUGCAGGCCAAGUACAGCAGCACAAGGGACAUGCUGGACGACGAUGGGGACACCGUCGUGAGUGUGCAUUCUCGAGCCUCGUCUCCAACCCAGCAGCCAGAGGCCGGACGCAAAGGGCACCGGCCUCCCUCCUCAGUUUGGCGACCAGUGGCCCUGACCCUGCUGACUCUGUGUUUGGUGCUGCUGCUUGGCCUGUUGGCCCUGGGGCUUGUGUUUUUCCAGUUCUACCAGCUUUCCAACACUCAACAAGACAGCAUUUCUAACAAGGAAGAAAGAUUGGCGAAUCUCUCCCUACAGCUGCAGUCUCUCCAGACAAAGAACAGGAAGCUUGCAGAAAUUUUGCAGCGCAUGGCUGAAAAACUGUGUCGUGAGCUGUAUAACAAAACUGGAGAACACAGAUGCAGCCCUUGUCCAGAAAAAUGGAAAUGGCAUGGGGACAAAUGCUACCGAUUCUGUAGAGACAGCAAGAGUUGGCAAGGCUGUGAAUAUUUCUGCAUUGCAGAGAACGCCACCAUGCUGAAGAUAAACACGCAGGAAGUGCUGGAGUUUGCCAUGCCUCAGAGCUACUCUGAGUUUUUCUACUCUUAUUGGACAGGGCUAUCCCGCAAUGGCAGCGGACAGGCGUGGCUAUGGACCGAUGGAACCCCGUACUCCUCUGAACUGUUGGAGAUUAUAAUAGAUUUCACCAGCCUAAGAAGCAGGGACUGUGUGACCAUCCUCAAUGGAAAGGCUUUCUCAAAGGACUGCAAAGAGUUGAGGCGGUGUGCGUGUGAAAGAAAGGCUGCAGCAGUAAAGCUUGAGAGUCUCCAUUAGCCUCUCUGAGCCAUUACGUGGAGGUGAUUGACUCUUCCGCCAUAAAGGUGAUGUCAAGCUCCCUUCAGGGAAAUUGAAGAUCAGAACAAAAGUCAAUUUCUUUAUGGGCACCUGUAAUAAUUUGGUUUCAGUUCCUUUUUUUCUCUUAUUGGAGCCAUGUUUGUACAACAAAGCAUCAAAAUGAUUUGAGCCAAGCAAGGUCAUUGCAAAGGAUAUUCGAGACAUUGGAAAAUGGGAAAAAAGGAGGAAAGGCAGUUUCUCUGACAGGUACAAGAAACACUUUCCUGUUUCCUGCUCAAGAUCGCCAGCAUUUCUGAGCUUGGGUUCAUGCAAAUGUUCAUGAGUCACAAAGAAGUCCUAUCUGCAUACCACCCACCAGUCGCAGACUAUCGUAAAGUUGUAAUCUACCUUCUUGACCUAGAGAUGCUUUCCAGCGUUCUUCCUUCUCAUCAUCUAAUAUCAUCUGCCUUUUUCCAUGUCUUCCUUAAUAUUUGGAGAAGUGAGAAACUUACUGAAGUAGAGGAAAUAAAGUGUCUCCAAUUUUGAUGUGAAUGUGCUACGGGUGAUGGCAGCAGGACUGAGAAGGAGGAAAACUUGGAAGCCAUGAAGCUACCCUUCAAUGACCUCAGCUUUGGUUCCAAUAAAAAGCCUGUGAAGCUAUCAUUGCUGGUUCUGUCUUCUGGAAAAACUCUGAGGGAUUGGUGCCUCCAUUUGUAUCUGCACAGUGGAAACUGAUUUGAUAUCAAUUACCUGAAACGAAGGAGUUUUGCAUCAAGGUUUGACAGUAUUUCAUCUGAAGGUUAUGGUUUUUUUGCCAUCGUGUGAAAUUCCACAUUGUUCUCUCCUGAUGGAUGAGUUUUUCUUGUUGCUUCAUUGCAAUAGUGGACACCUGGAACACUUCAAACAAUAACAAUCAUUCUUAAUAAAAAAUACUAACAAAUUAUUGCAAACUAGUUUUUCCAUACAGACUAAGUACAGCUGCAAGUUACUGAUGAUCUUUGGGCCUUUAAUUCGCAUUAAGUUUUUGUUUACAAUUUACACUGUUCAAGAAUCAAAAACUUCAAAGGAGACAGAGCAAAAAGCCACUUUACCACCCAGUCUCCCCAUGCACCUGACUUCACUCCCCAAGAGCAGUCAGCUUUACCAAUUUCUUUUUUACUCUUCCACAUAUGUUUGCUUGAAUUUUAUAAACAAAUGCAUAUAAAAUGCCCUCUCUUCCCUUUGUUUGGACGGUAGCAAUCUGUUUAUUUUUCACCUUUUAUUUUACCACUUAAAAUAUAUUUGGGGGGCACCUGGGUGGCUCAGUCAGUUGAGUGUCUGACUUGGUUUCAGCUCAGGUCAUGAUCUCCUGGUUCAUGAAACUGAGCCUUGCAUCAGGCUCUGUGUUGGCAGUAAGGAGCCUGCUUGGGAUUCUCUCUCUCUCUCUCUCUCUCUCUCUCUCUCUCUCUCUCUGCCACUCCUUCAAUCAUGCUGUCUCUGUCUCAAAAUAAAUAAGUAAACUUUAAGGAAAGGUAAUUAUAAAGUAUAUUUUGGACAUAAUUCCAUAUCAGUAUAUAAAUAGCUUUCUCAUCGAAUUCCAUUGUCUGGAUAUAUCAUGAUUUAUGUUAGACAUUUUCUAUUGACUUUUAGACUGUUUGUAAUCUUUUGGCAUUCCAGAAAUAAAUACUGUAAUAAAGAACCUUAGUCAUACAUAAUUUCACACAUAUGCAAGCAUAUUUUUAAGAUAAGUUGCUUGGUCAAAGUUUAUGUACAUUUAAGUUGUAUUACAUAUCUCCAAAUUACCCUCCAUAUAUGCUGUUGCACAUGGUAUCUCAGUAUCAUUUGACUUUGCAUUUCCUUUUUUACUUUGGUGUCGAAACUUUUUCUCGUACAUAUAAAUGUCAUUUGUAUUUGCUUUUCUAUGAAGUGUAUAAUUAUAUAUAAUAUAUAAUAUAUAUUACAUACAUAAUUAACUAUAAUUUUUCUCAUUGAGUUUCUACUCUUUCCUUGACUGUUUUAUAUGAGGUGCUUAUUGUGCUGAGAAUUCGUUCAAACAGGCCUGGGAUCAGCCUGACAGUGUCUCUAAAGUUUCUGCCUGGUACCGACCUCUGGACGAGGUAUGAGACAUACUGAUUAAUAGUGUCGCUUUGCAAUCAUCAGUCUGAGGAUGUUGGGGCCAGAUUAUACUAGCUUGUCGGCAUUCUUUACUGAUGCCAUAUGACCGAUGAUUUGCCCCUGGUUACAAGGAGGUCCUGAGCAGGGUCUGCUGUUGAAGCUGGUUACCUUACAGAAGUAUGCCUAUGCGGUCAGCAAAAUAUAAAAAUUCCCACGCAAGACUCUAUUUGGUGUGCCCUGGUACCAAAGUAUUCUGUGUAUACAUUGGUGGUUCCUGACUGAAGAGAAGAACUGUGUUCCGAAAGGAUAGUCACAGAGGGAGGACAAGACACCUGUUCGUACCUGGCCUGUCCGGAUCCUUCAUUGUAAUACAUAUCCUUACUUUAAUGUGGUCGUUAAAUUGUACCCUUUUCUUAUGGUAAACUGUACAUUUGUCAGCCCUGGCAUUUUGGGCCGUGUGACUCUUCGGCAAAUCAAUCUCGUUUAACGGGUUCUGCUAGUGCACUUGUACUUUGGUAAACUGAUCUUUUCCCUGAUAUGAGCUGCAGUUACACUGUCCCAGUGUGUCUUUUGACUUUGCUUGUGGUAGUUUGCCCCAUGUACGUCAGAUGCUUUUUAAAAUUUUUGAUUUUGUUUAAAUCCGAGGUAGUUAACAUAUACGGUAACAACGGUGUCAGGAGUUGAAUCUGGCGAUUCAUCAUCUACCUUUGGUAGUCAGUGCCUAUCCCAACAAGUGCCCUCCUAAUGCCCAUCACCCAUUUAGCCCAUCCCCCCACCCACCACCCCCUCAGCAAUUCUCAGUUUGUCCCCUGUAUUUGAGGGUCUCUUGUGGUUUGUCUCCCUCUCUGUUUUUACCUUAUUGUUUCCUUCUAUUCCCCUACGUUCAUCUGUUUUGUUUCUUGAGUCAUUUUUGGAAAAAAUUUACACUUGAGAUUAUACUUUUAUAAGUAUAGUUCAUUUUUCCAUAUUUGGUAGCUGGAAUUUAUUUUGUUGGAAUUUGUAAGGUAUGACUUCAGCGUUUCACCCCCAGAUGGCUACAUUGUGUGUGGUCUCAUAUCCUUUACUGAAUGAAACCCUUCCCCAUUGUCUUGUUUUUUUUUUUAAGUUUAUUUAUUUUGAGAGAGAGAGAGAGUGCUGCAUGCAUAAGUGGGGGAGGGACUAAGAGAGAGAGAGAAAGAGAGGAUCCCAAGCAGGCUCUGCACCAUCAGUACGGAGUUCCUUGUGGGUCCCUGAACUCACAAACCAUGAAAUAAUGAUCUUAGCCGAAGUCAGAUGCUUAACCGAUUGAGCCUGCCACGUGCCUGUCCUCCCCAUCCUCUUUUACUUGCCAUCUGUAGCUGAAAGGAUAGAAUAAUAGGAAUAAUAUAUUUCUAUUAUUUUAGUAACAUUCAAUCCGCCUGCUUUUCGGCGGAAUGAACCACACAGCCUUCAUUAUUUUAUAUUUAUAAUUUUGUUUCAAUAUUCGGCAGAGCCUGCCUUUCUCCCAUUUUCACAUUACUUUUAUAUUAUUUUUUGUUGCCGUUCUUUCCUUCUAAGUCUGACUGGCUUUUUAGGUCAAUUCUUUUUUAAAAUCAUAUUAUAAAGUACUCAUCUAUUCCUAGUCUAUUAAAUAGUUUUCUUCACAUGGAUAUUGCUUUUCUUUGUGCCGUUUCUUGAAUUUCUUGAAACACGUGGCUUAAUGUUUUUGAUCAGUUUGGGAAAACAUUCAUCCAAUAGGUCUUAAAAUAAUACUACUUUUAUCGAACUAUCUUUUCUACUUUGGGGUCUGUUAUUACGCAUAUGCUAAUCUUUCUCAAUAUGGUCUAGGAUGCUUACCCUCUUUUCUAUAUUUUGCUCAAGAGCUAGGGACUAGAUAUACAAUGGAUGGUUUAUGCCUUGUCCAUUGGUGGUUCAAGUAACCUAGGCUGCUAGUGGCUUGGAUUAUGUUCCUUCUUAGCAAAAGGCUAGAUAUAACCAGAGUGGGGAGUAGGACAGUGAUGUUACUUAUUUUAUUCUAUCAAUAAUCUGGCACGUUUAGAGAUUGAGAAUAAUAUUUUUUUUAGGAAUUUGAAGUAUUAUUCCAGAAGUUUAAAUUUCGAUGAACUCUUUUUAGAUUAACCAUAUUCUUGAGGUUAUUGCUGCUGUGUUUAUUACCAUCUGAAAAGGUUGUACUGUAUAAAACUGUAAUAAAACUGGAGAAAGGGAAAUGAAACUUCUCUUUUGUUCCCCCCCAAAUGGGAAGCAAAAUACAGUGUUGGGCUUGUAAUCAAUUUGCGACAAGUGAGGAAUAAAGAUUAAACACUAUAUUUAUUUGGGGGAAUAUAAGACAAAUGUUUUUAAAGCCCCCCAAAUAAAAGUAUCUUGUAAUUAUACAAUGUUGUAUGAUAUACUUAAUGGAUGAAUUAAGAAAAUGAAAAAGAAGAGUAAAAACAAAUGAAAAAAUUUGAUGUUUUAGAAAAUAUUUUGCACUACAGAGCUUUCAAAAUAGAAAUUAGCAUAAAUCAUUUGGUAGAAAAAAAUAGAAAAUACAAAAUAGUAGGAAGAAAGCAAGAAACUGCUUCUCCUUACAUUUAAACCCGCCAUUCAAAUAGCAGUUGUUAGCAUUUAGUUUAUAUCUACUAAAACUUUUUUCCACAUAUGCAUGUAAAACCCCAUCUAUUUUACAUAUAAUUUUUAUAAAACUGUAUUUUUCCAUAAGUGACUUUUAAAUCUGCUUAUUUCAUGGGAACUAUUGUGUAACCAUAUCUCCAUGUUAAUAGCAACAGUUCUAGAAGACCUCUUUAAAUUACUACAGUGUAUCCUUUUAUAUCAACCUACAUGAUUAAUUUUACCAGUCAUUUUACUGUCAGAUAUAUAUGGAUGCAUUUUUAAUGGUAUACAAGAAAAAUUUGUAAUUAACCCAUGCAUUACUUUCAUUUUUAAACAGGAUAUAGAUUUCAUUCAUUACUCUUUGUCAGAAACAUGUCCCUGUUUCUAAUAUGUAUAUUAAAUUAUAUAUUAUAUAAUAAUUUAAAUAUUAAUAUUGGCCUUUUUCUUACAGUGAAAAUUUUCAUGGAGAGAAUAUUUAACAUUCUUUAUUAAGUGGAACAUGAUUAAGAUGAGAUAAUUAUUAGACAUUAAACAUGAUUUUUACAACUCAAAAUAUACUGGCUAUAAAAUAAUCUAUAACUAGAAGGACAGCAAUAAGUUAAGAAAGUCUGAGGUCAACAAACCACUUCUUGUUUAGCACAACUCUUGUUUCUGUAACUGGCUUUUACUUAAUAAAAGCCCUAAGAAUGUUUUGAGAGUGUAAAAGAUGAUCUUGGCCAAUGGCAAUAUUGGUAGCAAAAAAAUAAAAGCCACUAUAUGUGAAGAAAAGCCACUAGUAAAAAUAUUUUACAUUUGUAUAGUGAUAUUUAUAAGUUUUAAAAGUAGGUAUUUGUAGCUAUUAAUGCAAAAAAAGCCAAAACUUGUAGUUGUAAGCAUUUUGCAGAAAUUACUGAAAGUUUUAAAUACUUUAUUUUCUAGCUAGCUUUCCUUUAUCCUCAUGGGAGUAUUUUCUUCCCAUAUUUUUUGUUUUGGGAGUUUAAAAAAAAAAUUGUUUCAUACAGACUACAUCCAUGGGAUUACGGCAUUAAAAAAACAACAAGCAGCAAUCACUGAUGUUGUCACCGUCUAUCUUACUUUCCUGACCCCAUUUUUAGUUACUUUUGUAUCCUUCCAGUGUCACUCUGUGCAUGAAUGCUUGUACUGUCGUCAGAAUGGAGCUAGACAAUAUUCCAUUCAAAGUGCCCAGGUUUUACAGAAGAAACUGAAAUAUUAGAGGUUAAUUUACUUAUCUGUUAGUUCUCUUUCAACUCCUCAAUCUAUUUCCAGUGUGUCUGUUUGAGAAAUAUACAUUUAAGUGUGAGUUUCCUAAAAAAAAAUAGACUUGCGUUUGAUUUAAAUAACGUUUUUAUAUGAUACCCAGAGAGUAGACGGUGAGAUAAGGAACUCUUUCGCAGUGCUAACAUUUGUUGUGAAAUUUCUUUUGAGGUGAUAGACAAGGCAACAAUUACUUAUUGAACUUCUAGUAAUUCUUAAAACAAUUUUCUAAGAACAAUCAGGAAAAUAAGUUCAUGGCUAACAUGAACAAGAUCAAGUUUCUUGUACUUUGUGGAAGCAAAUCUGAACCUGUCUCUUCUUCAUUCUAGAACUCAUAAUUCUCACCAGCUAAUGUCUGCUAGAUAGAGAAAUGUUUUUCCAGAGCAUAUGAAAAGGAGGAAUUAUCUGGACAAUAAACUUUAUCUCUGUCUUUCUAUAUAUACUUCCUAGUGCUAGCAUGAGUGAUAAUCCAAGUUGUUGGUUGUUUUUUUGUUUGUUUUUUGUAAUCUGCAGCUCUUUAAUUAUUAUAUUUUAUAAAAAUUUCACUAGCCAGAUACGAAAACAUGUCUUAAAAUUUGGACUAAAGAAAUGUGAUUAAUUAUGGCCCAAAUAAAGUGUUCAGAUUGCAUUAA